rnacentral:lncRNA from 1 species
AAAGGCUUUAUACCAGGAACUCUCUGUCAUUUAAGUUAUCUCCUUCCAUCCAUAAUACUGUUUUAUAGACUGACAUAAAAAGUAGAUAAAAAGAGCUGGUACUAUUAGAUGAACUCCCUCAAUCUCUGGUUUACUUGUGUUUUCCUGGAAGAAAAAAAAAAGAAAAAAAAAAGAAGCCACCAUGGUUGUUUAUUUUAAAAGUGAUUCCAUUUUUGUUUUACUCGUGUUCACUACAGAUUACUGGGACUGAAAAGUGAAAACCUGGGAAGAAAAGGAGGAGCCUGGAAAAACACUGGAAAGAAAGAGAAAGAGAAGAAAUGAGAAGAAAUCAAGAGAGGGGUAUGCUAAGAAGCUGAGGUCAGAGACUGAACACAAAGAACUGUUUUUCAUUUCAUUUAAGAAUUGUUACACAUUGCUGCGGCAGGGGAGAGAUCGAAGUAUGAUGACAGUUUAAUGGAAUACGGCUAAAUACUGUUCAUCCAGGAUAAAGAAGGAGGAGGAAAGAGACCAAACUGAAGAUACACAAAUACUUAACUGAGGUAUUUUAAAAUGAUUUAUAUUUAUAAUUUUAUGUCAGUAGUCCAAAAAUAGGAGU